UACGGAGGGUGCAAGCGUUGUUCGGAAUCAUUGGGCGUAAAGAGCACGUAGGCGGUCUUUUAAGUCGGGUGUGAAAUCCCUCAGCUUAACUGAGGAAGUGCAUUCGAAACUGGAGGACUUGAAUACUCAAGAGGGUCUCGGAAUUCCCGGUGUAGAGGUGAAAUUCGUAGAUAUCGGGAGGAACACCAGUGGCGAAGGCGGAGACCUGGGGAGAUAUUGACGCUGAGGAGCGAAAGCGUGGGGAGCAAACAGG
rnacentral:rRNA from 1 species